AUAAUGACUCUCGGCAACGGAUAUCUCGGCCCUCGCAUCGAUGAAGAACGUAGCGAAAUGCGAUACGUGGUGUGAAUUGCAGAAUCCCGCGAACCAUUGAGUCUUUGAACGCAAGUUGCGCCCAAGGCCUUGCCGCCGAGGGCACGCCUGCCUGGGCGUCACGC
rnacentral:rRNA from 1 species